rnacentral:rRNA from 1 species
CAGCUGAUGCAGCGACGCCGCGUGCGGGAUGGAGGCCUUCGGGUUGUAAACCGCUUUUGUUCAAGGGCAAGGCACGGUUUCGGCCGUGUUGAGUGGAUUGUUCGAAUAAGCACCGGCUAACUACGUGCCAGCAGCCGCGGUAAUACGUAGGGUGCGAGCGUUAUCCGGAUUUAUUGGGCGUAAAGGGCUCGUAGGCGGUUCGUCGCGUCCGGUGUGAAAGUCCAUCGCCUAACGGUGGAUCUGCGCCGGGUACGGGCGGGCUGGAGUGCGGUAGGGGAGACUGGAAUUCCCGGUGUAACGGUGGAAUGUGUAGAUAUCGGGAAGAACACCAAUGGCGAAGGCAGGUCUCUGGGCCGUCACUGACGCUGAGGAGCGAAAGCGUGGGGAGCGAACAGGAUUAGAUACC